rnacentral:lncRNA from 1 species
UUUCAGACGAAUGGAACGCUACUCUCAUGCUGGUACUUGUGCAAGGGUUUACCAGUGCGGUACGAUUUAGAAGAAAAUCGCUCUACCUGCUUUACAGAUGCAUGGGAGGUUGGCGAAUGCAACUCCAGUAAAUGCAUCAAGACCCGGCCACUAACACUGACGUCGGUAGCAACAGAGACCACGAUCACCAAGAGAUCACUUCGGCCCAAUAAAGGCCAGACUUCACCCUCACGUGGCAGGAGAAAACGAAAAUGCACACGUGCCACCAAGCGCACAGAGUCAGUCACAAGAAGCUGUCGCUACCGAUGCCUCGGAAAACCACUGAAACUGGAGGUGGAACCGGACGGAACGCCGUGCAGACCUUCGCCCAGGAGACGUGGUUUCUGCUUGCAAGGGCGCUGCAAAAAGAAGCACCCUGAAACUGAGACACCUGAGGAACCAAAGACCGUCACUC